AUAAAUAAAUAACGUCUUUAUUCAGAGAAGCAGGAUUAUAAUAUGCCUGGCAAUCAUGACAUCAAGGGCGAAGUCUAGCAAGCUAUUCAACUCAACCCCACAAUGAUGUACGAAGCCAGACUAAUAAUGCAUAAGGUUAAUGAAAAUUGAAAUAACGAGAUGGCAGAAAUAAAAGUAAUAUGCGAUAUGUGAACCAGAGAGCACCCAGCACCCCCUCCCCACCACAGCAAGGACAAAACAAUCAAGAAAGAAA